ensembl:lncRNA
AGCCACUGCAGUGAACUGGAGAACCAAGUCCUUUGUGAGGGAGCAGCCACUGCUCCGUUCCAGAUAAUUGUUGCAAGGCAGGAAUGUUGACCUAGUGUUACCACAUUGUCCAGUUUCUCAGUUUUUGGGUAGACAUUUCUCCAAGGAAGAUAUACAGAUGGCCAACAAGCACUUGAAACAAUGCUCAGCAUCACUGAUUAUUAAAGAAAUGCAAAUCAAAACUACCAUGAGAUACCACUUCACACCAGUCAGAAUGGCCAUCAUUAAUAAGUCCACAAAUAACAAAUGCUGGAGGGGGUGUGGAGAAAAGGGAACCCUCUUGCACUGUUGGUGGGAAUGUAAGCUGGUACAACCACUAUGGAGAACAGUAUUGGAGGUACCUUAGAAAAUUAUACAUAGAACUACAAUAUGAUCCAGCAAUCCCACUCUUGGGCAUAUAUCUGGACAAAACUACUUUAAAAAGACACAUGCACCUGCAUGUUCAUUGCAGCACUAUUCACAAUAGCCAAGACAAGAAAGCAACCCAAAUGUCCACUGAUAGAUGAUUGGAUCAGGAAGACUGGUGUAUAUAUACACAAUGGAAUACUACUCAGCUAUAAACAAGAACAAAAUAAUGCCAUUUGCAGCAACAUGGAUGGAACUAGAGACUCUCACUCUGAGUGAAGUAAGUCAGAAAGAGAAGGACAAAUGCCACAUGAUAUCACUUAUAUCUGGAAUCUAAUAUAUGGCACAAAUGAACCUUUCCACAGAAAAGAAAAUCAUGGACCUGGAGAAUAGACUUGUGGUUGCCAAGGGGGAAGGGGAGGGAGUGGGAGGAACUGGGAGCUUGGGGUAUAUAGAGGCAGAAUGUUGCCUUUAGGAUGGAUUAGCAAUGCAGUUCUGCUAUGUAGCACUGGGAACUCUGUCUAGUCAAUUAUGGCAGAACACGUAAUGUGAGAAAAAAGAAUGUAUACAUGUAUGUGUAACUGGGUCAUCAUGCUGUGCAGUAGAAAAUAUAUAUAUAUAUAAAUAAAUGAAAAUUUUAAAAAAUUAAAAGAAUGCUGUAACCACUCAGACUUUACUCUCUAAAAUGCUAAUGCUUAUGCUGUUUUUUAAUCCAGUCAUAUCUGUUGUUGCAUGUACAUACUAUUUUGGAAUUUAAGUCUGGAAAGAGGUAGAUUUUAAUGUGAGACUUUUUUCUCAAGUGGAGGAUGUGAGGCAUUCACUCUUGCAAAUGUCAGAAAGGAGACUUUCUAACUUUGAAUAUUUCAUGAGUUAAGUUUAUAAUCACUGAAUAAAAAUUGUAAAUGAUAAUUUAGGCUAUAUAGCAUAUUAAAUAUUUGAAUUUUACCAAAGUUGCAUCAUCUUACCUUAAUAAAUCAAUAGUUCAUUCAGUAUUCAUUCUGCCCUACUAUGUAUCCAAGUAAUGCCACUAAGUACGAGAUUAAUGUGUGAUUUCAUUAUAACAUUUAGUAGAAUUUACUCAUAUUAUAACAUGACUUUAAAAUAGUUCAUUCUUUUUAUCAUUAAUUAGGUAUGUGUAAUGGAGUUCCCAUCAUGAAACAGCAGAAAUGAACCCAGAAAUGAACCACAAGGUCGCGGGUUCCAUACCUGGCCUCAUUCAGUGGGUUAGGGCUCUGGUGUUGCCAUGAGCUCUGGUGUAGGUCGCAGACACGGCUCAGAUCCUCAGUUGCUGUGGCUGUGGUGUUGGCUGGCAGCUGUAGCUCCAAUUAGACCCCUAGCCUAGGAACUUCCAUAUGCCUCAAGUGCAGCCCUAAAAAGCAAAAAAAAAAGAAAGUGUGUGUGAUAUUAUUCAAAAGAAUGUGUGACGUUUGAUGCUAUCCAGAAAGAUUAAUGAAGAUUAGCCGCUUAUUUUCAUGAUGUCAUAUUCUCUGAUAUUUAGUUUUCAUGGUGUUUUGGGUAUAACUUUUAAAACAUAUUUAACACUGCAUAAUAUAGUAAGUUUAUUCUUUGGUUGACAGAAAUGUCAGUAAAGCAGAUAGAGAAAAAAAAAUCAGUUGAGUAAAUUUACAUCCUGUUGAAAUGUGUUUCUGGAGUUCCCGUCGUGGCGCAGUGGAUAACGAAUCCGACUAGGAACCAUGAGGUUGCAGGUUCAAUCCCUGGCCUUGCUCAGUGGGUUAGGGAUCCUGCGUUGCUGUGAGCUGUGGUGUAGGUUGCAUACACAGCUCGGAUCCCCGAGUUGCUGUGGCUGUGGUAUAGGCCAGUGCCUACAGCUCCGAUUCGACCCCUAGCCUGGGAACCUCCAUAUGCCGCAGGAGCGGCCCAAGAAAUGGCAAAAAGACAAAAAAAAAAAAAGAAAGGAUCUGGCUUUGCUGCAGCUGUGGCACAGGUUGCAACUGUGGCAUAGGUUCAAUCCCUGGUCCAGAAACUUCAAAUACCACAUAUGCAACUGAAAAAGAAAAACAAAAUACAAAAACUCUGAUGCACUUUCAUAAAGUUAGCAUAUUAUUUUUCUUAUAAGCUCUAUCAUACUUCUUCUACACAGAAAUUAUUACUCAGAGAUUAUGAGAUCAUUAGGGACAAAUCUAGAGCAAAAAAACUCCUUUGUAUCAUUUGUAAACAUUCAUACUCACCGGCUUCUCUUCUUUUAAAAAGUUCUCUUUCAUUUUAGAUGCACAUGUUGCUAAAACUUUACAAGCCUACCAUGGUAAAAAUCAAAAUAUAAAACUGUUGGCUAAUUAGAAUCUGCAUCGUCUUCAUUGGGUUUUUAAGCACCUUGUGUAGGCCAAGGCACUCUACACCAGGAAAUGGGGCUACUGGAGGAACCUAGAGAAACAGGGUCCCUGCUGUGAGGAGUUUGCAUUCCUAUGGUGAGGGAUAGGCAAUAAACAAACAAAUAAAUGAUAAGGAAAAAAAAUCAGAUAAUAAGAGGUAUUAGUGAAUUAACUGAGAGAAUACCUAAGGUUUACAGUGUAAUCUCUUUGAGGAGGUGACAUCUAAUUUGAAUUCUGAAUGAAGCCAAUGCAAAGAAGGGCCCUAGAAUUAUGCAGUUCUAUUUUAGCAAAUACUUCCUUUUUUUUCUUCUUUUUUUUUUUUCUUUUUUUAUGGCUGCACCUGCAGCAUAUGGAAGUUCUCAGGCUAGGGGUCAAAUUGGAGCUAUAGCCGCUGGCCUACGCCACAGCCACAGCAAUGUGGGAUCUAAGCCAUUUUUGCAACCUACACCACAGCUCAUGCCCAAUCCUGGACAUACUGAGCAAGGCCAGGGAUCAAACCUGGAUGCUCAUGGAUACUAGUUGGGUUCAUUACCAAUGAGCCACGAUGGGAACUCCUAUUUUAGCAAAUGCUUCUAAGUGAAUUAUCAAAAUGACCAUAGAGUUAUGUAUAGAGAUACUUAUCUCAGAUUUAUUUGCAGUUGAAAAAAUUGACGAGAAAAAUCUAUGUCCACAAAAGGGAUGUUAAGUAAAUUAGAAAGCUCUAUCUAAGAAAAGUCUAAGCAAUUAAAAGUCAUAUUUUGGAAAAAUAUUUAAUGCUGUAGUAAAAUGAUCAACUUUCAAAUAGAGCACAAAGCAGUGCUAAUUCAAUAUAUAAAGGAAUAAAGAGUACCCAUCGUAGCUCAGUGGAGGUGAAUCUGACUAGCUUCCGUGAGAACGCAGAUUCCAUCCCUGGCCUCAUCAGUGGGUUAAGGAUCUGGCAUUGCCGUGAGCUGUGGUGUAGGUCUCAGACGCAGCUCAGAUCUGGCAUUGCUGUGGCUGUGGAGUAGGCCAGCAGCUAUAGCUCCAAUUCAACCCCUAGCCUGGGAACUUCCGUGUGCCAUGGGUGCAGCCCUAAAAAGAUAAAAUAAUAAUUAUAAUAAUAUAAAAUCAAAUAAAAAUAAUAUUUAAAGGAAAAAAAUGGCACUUUUAUACAUAGGAAAAAAUCGGAAUGAGUAUUGCUACUUUGGAGAGCAAUUUGGCAAUGCCUAUAAAGUUAAAUGUGCAAACCCUGCAACUCAACAUUCAUGUGAUUUAUGUACCAAAAGAUGAAUAGUCAUAUGAUAGAAUAGGAUUCAAAUGUUAGUAUCUGUAAAUCUAGAGAUCUGCAGAUCUCUAUAUAGAUCUCUGUAUCUUCACAGAUCUGUAUAUCUCUGCUGAGACAG